AGAGUUUGAUCAUGGCUCAGAUUGAACGCUGGCGGCGUGCCUAACACAUGCAAGUCGAGCGGUAACAGGUGUAGCAAUACAUGCUGACGAGCGGCGGACGGGUGAGUAACGCUUGGGAAUCUGCCUGAUAGUGGGGGACAACCCGGGGAAACUCGGGCUAAUACCGCAUACGCACUACGGUGGAAAGCCGGGGACCGCAAGGCCUGGCGCUAACAGAUGAGCCCAAGUCGGAUUAGCUAGUUGGUAGGGUAAUGGCCUACCAAGGCGACGAUCCGUAACUGGUCUGAGAGGACGACCAGUCACACCGGAACUGAGACACGGUCCGGACUCCUACGGGAGGCAGCAGUGGGGAAUAUUGGACAAUGGGCGAAAGCCUGAUCCAGCGACGCCGCGUGGGUGAAGAAGGCCUGCGGGUUGUAAAGCCCUUUCGGUGGGGAAGAAAAGCCUCGUUCUAAUACAGCGGGGUCUUGACGUAACCCAUAGAAGAAGCACCGGCUAACUCUGUGCCAGCAGCCGCGGUAAUACAGAGGGUGCGAGCGUUAAUCGGAAUUACUGGGCGUAAAGCGCGCGUAGGCGGCUUUGCAAGUCGGGUGUGAAAUCCCCAGGCUUAACCUGGGAACUGCAUUCGAGACUGCAUUGCUAGAGUAUGGGAGAGGGAAGUGGAAUUUCCGGUGUAGCGGUGAAAUGCGUAGAUAUCGGAAGGAACAUCAGUGGCGAAAGCGACUUCCUGGACCAAUACUGACGCUCAUGUGCGAAAGCGUGGGGAGCAAACAGGAUUAGAUACCCUGGUAGUCCACGCCAUAAACGAUGAGAACUGGAUGUCGGGAGGGUCUGCCUCUCGGUGUCGUAGCUAACGCGUUAAGUUCUCCGCCUGGGGAGUACGGGCCGCAAGGUUGAAACUCAAAUGAAUUGACGG
rnacentral:rRNA from 1 species